rnacentral:rRNA from 1 species
GACGAACGCUGGCGGCAUGCCUAACACAUGCAAGUCGAACGAGACCUUCGGGUCUAGUGGCGCACGGGUGCGUAACGCGUGGGAAGCUGCCCUUAGGUAUGGAAUAACUCCCCGAAAGGGGUGCUAAUACCGGAUAAUGUCUUCGGACCAAAGAUUUAUCGCAUUUGGAUGGGCCCGCGUUGGAUUAGCUAGUUGGUAGGGUAAAAGCCUACCAAGGCGACGAUGCAUAGCUGGUCUGAGAAGAUGAUCAGCCACACUGGGACUGAGACACGGCCUAGAAUCCUACGGAAGGGAGGAGUGGGGAAUAUUGGAAAAUGGGGGAAAGCCUGAUCCAGCACUGCCGGGUGAGUGAUGAAGGCCGUAGGGUUGUAAAGUUCUUUUACCCGGGAUGAUAAUGACAGUACCGGGAGAAUAAGCCCCGGCUAACUCCGUG